rnacentral:rRNA from 1 species
UACAGAGGUCUCAAGCGUUGUUCGGAUUCAUUGGGCGUAAAGGGUGCGUAGGUGGCGCCGUAAGUCGGGUGUGAAAUUUCGGAGCUUAACUCCGAAACUGCAUUCGAUACUGCGGUGCUUGAGGACUGGAGAGGAGACUGGAAUUCAUGGUGUAGCAGUGAAAUGCGUAGAGAUCAUGAGGAAGACCAGUGGCGAAGGCGGGUCUCUGGACAGUUCCUGACACUAAGGCACGAAGGCCAGGGGAGCAAACGGG